UGGCUGGUAGGCCUCUGCUUUAAAUGUCUGGAGGCUGGUCACUUUAAGGCGGAGUGCUCCGGUGAGAUUCGCUGCCACAACUGCUGGGUAUCGGGACACGUUGCUCGCUCCUGCUCCUCCCACCCUUCGCAGCACACUGCCAGAGCUCGCGGCAUGGAUGCGCUCGAGGCGGAUUUCCGCAAUCGCGCGUUGCUGGCCUCGGUGCAAGGGCGGCGGCCUGCGGUGUCGCCGGAGGCGCUGGUGCAAGCCCUGGGGAGAGAGUGCGGGGUCGAGUGGAGGUUCGUCCGGGUGGAGGUGACGCACCCUGCAGAUUUCUUCAUCUAUUUUGCUUCCACAGAAGAUUGCGACCGGGUCUUCAGCCAGACCGGCCAGAUCCGGUGUGCGGGCGCGCAAAUCGCGUUCCAGCGCUGGCACCGGUGCGCCCAAGCAUCCAGUGGCAAGCUCGAGUUCUUCUGCAAGCUGGGAAUUGAGGGACUGCCAGCGGGUGGCUGGGAGUGGGAGACGCUGAGCCAGCUCGUCAACAAUCUUCAAGGCCAACUGGUGGAGGUGCUACCGCAAGACGAUCGCUGGCAGGUUGAUGUCACUGCUUGGAUGCGCAAUCCAUCCGGCAUUCCGAAGGUGUAUGAUCUGGAGAUGCCCGAGCCGGUGGGUUUGCCCAAUGUGGUGGACGAGGACUGGCCGUUUGCGCCUCCACCGCCG
rnacentral:rRNA from 1 species